GCGUGCUUAACACAUGCAAGUCGAACGAUGAAGCCCAGCUUGCUGGGUGGAUUAGUGGCGAACGGGUGAGUAACACGUGAGUAACCUGCCCUUAACUCUGGGAUAAGCCUGGGAAACUGGGUCUAAUACCGGAUAGGAGCGUCCACCGCAUGGUGGGUGUUGGAAAGAUUUAUCGGUUUUGGAUGGACUCGCGGCCUAUCAGCUUGUUGGUGAGGUAAUGGCUCACCAAGGCGACGACGGGUAGCCGGCCUGAGAGGGUGACCGGCCACACUGGGACUGAGACACGGCCCAGACUCCUACGGGAGGCAGCAGUGGGGAAUAUUGCACAAUGGGCGCAAGCCUGAUGCAGCGACGCCGCGUGAGGGAUGACGGCCUUCGGGUUGUAAACCUCUUUCAGUAGGGAAGAAGCGAAAGUGACGGUACCUGCAGAAGAAGCACCGGCUAACUACGUGCCAGCAGCCGCGGUAAUACGUAGGGUGCGAGCGUUAUCCGGAAUUAUUGGGCGUAAAGAGCUCGUAGGCGGUUUGUCGCGUCUGUCGUGAAAGUCCGGGGCUUAACCCCGGAUCUGCGGUGGGUACGGGCAGACUAGAGUGCAGUAGGGGAGACUGGAAUUCCUGGUGUAGCGGUGGAAUGCGCAGAUAUCAGGAGGAACACCGAUGGCGAAGGCAGGUCUCUGGGCUGUAACUGACGCUGAGGAGCGAAAGCAUGGGGAGCGAACAGGAUUAGAUACCCUGGUAGUCCAUGCCGUAAACGUUGGGCACUAGGUGUGGGGACCAUUCCACGGUUUCCGCGCCGCAGCUAACGC
rnacentral:rRNA from 1 species